UUAAAUUGAAGAGUUUGAUCAUGGCUCAGAUUGAAUGCUGGCGGCAGGCCUAACACAUGCAAGUCGAACGGUAACAGGAAGCAGCUUGCUGCUU
rnacentral:rRNA from 1 species